rnacentral:rRNA from 1 species
ACCAGACUCCUACGGGAGGCAGCAGUGGGGAAUAUUGCACAAUGGGGGGAACCCUGAUGCAGCGACGCCGCGUGAGUGAAGAAGUAUUUCGGUAUGUAAAGCUCUGUCAGCAGGGAAGAAGAAAGACGGUACCUGACCAAGAAGCCCCGGCUAACUACGUGCCAGCAGCCGCGGUAAUACGUAGGGGGCAAGCGUUAUCCGGAUUUACUGGGUGUAAAGGGAGCGUAGACGGCAGUGCAAGUCUGGAGUGAAAGGCGGGGGCUCAACCCCCGGACUGCUCUGGAAACUGUACGGCUGGAGUGCAGGAGAGGUAAGUGGAAUUCCUAGUGUAGCGGUGAAAUGCGUAGAUAUUAGGAGGAACACCGGUGGCGAAGGCGGCCUGCUGGACUGUAACUGACGUUGAGGCUCGAAAGCGUGGGGAGCAAACAGGAUUAGAUACCCCAGUA